UUAGCUUUAACGACGACUAAGACAACCACUAAAACGUGUGUAAAACCUUUGGCAGGGCACGGGGCUACGCCCCGACGCUUAGCGGCUCGCCGUCCCUGCCAAAGCAACAGAAGGGUGCACAAAGGAUGAGAGCGUAGGAGACUCUGUAAUGAUCCCUCCGCUGGUUCACCAACGGAGA
rnacentral:misc_RNA from 1 species